UCUGUCUUGGAGUUGUUGAUGAAAUUGUAGUUGAAAAUGGGAGAAGAGAAGGGAAUCGAUCAUUGAGCACAAGCUCCGCACGGUUGGUAACUUUGUAUUGUCGCACACAAAUAGUAUUUUGGUUAAUAAUAUUUGUGAGAUUUAAUUUUGGAGGAGUACAUGCUUGUUUGAAGGGAAAGUGGGAUUGUGGGUUCAAUGGCGUACAAUUGGUCUCAGCCGAAUAUGAAAACCAGCGUUAAGAUCAUUCAUUCAAGACCAAUAUAUUGCCAAUCCGUGGUCUGAAUUCGGAGAACUGCUACUGUCAAAUUGAUGAUUCUACAUUGUCAUCUUUUGAGAUUGCACGCGCAAGCACUAACUCUUGCUGCACUAUCCGGUGCUGCCAUUGUCGAAUACUACGAUCACAAAUCAGGAGCCAGAGCAAAGCGUGUGGCCAAGUUCUUGGACAUCAAGGAAAACCAACACAGGGAUUGAUGUUCUGAAGGAAAGAACAAACUCGCCCUCGGUUUUUUGCUACGAAGCUUUCGAAUUAUUGAGGCUUCUUCAGAUUUGAAUUUUGAUCAUGGCUGUGUGUGCAAACUCCAAAUAUUUUUGUACUAUCAAAUCCUUCCCUUUACAAUGCAAUUGGGCCUUCAUCUUAGGCCUAAACCUAAAUUAAAAUUAAGACCAAGGCCAUCUGUUAUUAAAAUCUGUACAUAUUAAUUCAA